rnacentral:rRNA from 1 species
AUACGUAGGAUGCAAGCGUUAUCCGGAUUUAUUGGGUUUAAAGGGUGCGUAGGCGGUUUGCUAAGCGGGAGGUGAAAUGCCGGCGCUCAACGUCGGAAGUGCCUCCCGAACUGGUGGACUUGAAUGACUCUGCCGUGGGAGGAAUGUGUAGUGUAGCGGUGAAAUGCUUAGAGAUUACACAGAACACCGAUUGCGAAGGCAUCUCACGAAGGGUUGAUUGACGCUGAGGCACGAAAGCGUGGGGAUCAAACAGGAUUAGAUACCCUGGUAGUCCACGCAGUAAACGAUGAUGGCUAACCGCUGGGCUUAUCAGUUCAGUGGCCAAGCGAAAGCGAUAAGCCAUCCACCUGGGGAGUACGACCGCAAGGUUGAAACUCAAAUGAAUUGGCGGGG